UAACAGGUGUCUUGCCUCCGGAACGUUAAACUUACGACACACGAUGCUAGAUUAAAAAGGAUUAUUCUGGAGAUAACGCGUAACUAUAGCAGCAGACCAACUAUCGUCAGAUUGUGACAUUGUAUCUACCAUAUAACGGCAAAGAAGAAAUGUUCACAAUACUACAUACAUUUGUAUUCCUAUUUUAUCAUGUUAUACAUUGUAUUGAAUGUACACGACAAACAUUUUGUUUUCAUAACGUUCCGAUGUUGUAGAAAUGAAUAAAUCUUUAGCCCUUACUUUAUUGAAGAUCAUGUACAAAUACAAUAUAAGAACACGAACAGAAUGGUAUUAA